ensembl:lncRNA
CCACAAGGAAAGGGUGCUUCUGUGGAGAUCCCUCCUUUUGGAGUGUUUAGUGAGCCCUGAUCAUUGGAUGGGUGACCACAAGUCUUCUGCAAGUGCUGAAAAGCAGUUUGCUGCCCCUGCAUCACCAGCUGUGCAGACACGUUUAGUACCUGUGCUCAAUGGACGGUGAGUAGCCACCUUGUGCUGAGUGGUACCUGGGGGGGAGACUGAGCAUGCAGCCUCUGCUAGGUGCCAUGCAUGCCUUAUUCUGAUGUAUACAAAGGCUGAUGGGAUCCGGCCCAAAGGUGUAGGUGGGAGAAUCAUUACAAGAUGAUGUGCUGGGCUCUGCUUUAGAAGCUGGGAUUUAUGUUGGAGCUCUUCCUUCUGACCUGGAGCUGCCUUGCAAGCUGCCAUUGCUCUGACUUUCUCAAUGGAACCUCAUGGGUGGUGAAGUGAGUUGGGAAAAUCCAAACCAAAACUGCUUAAAGGUAAAAAGUCAUCUGGGAACGUUGGUCAGCUGCUGAUAGUAAUUAAAUUCCAGGCUUUUUUAAUCUGAAAAUUGUAGCAAUGUAACUUUAACUUUUCAUAAGCUACGCUCUACAUGCACAUUCAUAAGCCAGUUCCCUUAAGCUCAGCUGAGAUCUCUGUAUUUUACAAGUUAUUAUGGGCAACAGAUUAAUAUUAAAAUUAAUACUGGAAGUAUUAGAAUUGUUUUUUCCUCUCUUCUGAGAAAUAAGAACACCUCUGGUUCUCCUCAUGCACGGAGGAGAACAUGUGUAUAUUCAAACACUUUAGCUGUGUGAUUGAUGUGUUUUAUCUUGGAGCUCUGUGAUCUUCUGUCUUGUCACCAUCUGCAUGAAGGUUUCUUUGCAGCUGCCUGGUUUCCUUCAUCCCUGUGGGCUCUGCUGGGAGUGGUUGGGUCCCCUGCCUGGGGUCUGAGGUAUAGGGUGUGGGCAGGUGGCCGUGGGACUGCAGUCAGAGUCCAGGCAUGGGAUGCUCUCAGCAGUUUUCCUGCAAAAGAAGAUGAAACAUGGAAUCAUAGAAUGGCCUGGGAUGAAAAGGACCACAAGGACCAUCUAGUUUCCACCUCCCUGCUAUGUGCAGAGUCACCAACCACCAGACCAGGCUGCCCGGAGCCACAUCCAGCCUGGGAAGAUGAAUGUGAAGAUGGAGAUGUCCUGAAGGAGGCUUCCAAAAGUCUCAGAGAGAACACACUGGUAUCUGAUGAGGCAGUGCAGGAAUUGUUACCCAGAUGAGGCCCGUUCUUGGCUCAACAUUGUUUGAGAUGCCUCUUCUGCCCUGCCUCGUGUUGGAAGAGCCCCUCAUAUCUGUGCCUGCCUCUUCUCCAUGGUGGUUUUAACACCAGGACUGCCACACCGCUCUGGCUGAGGCAACAAGGAAGGCCACAGCCUAACUGUAUUUUAAAUAACCACGUAAUGCUUCAGUAUCUCAACUACUUCUUGUGAAGCAGCUUCUAUCAUAUCUGAAAGAUGAGUUAUAAUUUGGGGAUUGGCCUUGGUGAUCUCCAGAGGUCCCUUUCAACCCUUAUGGUUCUGUGAUUAUCAGUCGUGGGUAAGCAGAACUGGCAGCUGAAUGAGGUACUGGGGCUUAAAUGAUGCACUGAGCUUGGGAAUGGUCUGAGGGCUGGUACACCUCUACAGCAGUGCUUUCUAUUUGUGUUCUUCAAGCACGUUUUUGCUGGAGAACACACAGGGCCACACAGUGAUGGAUGGGGCGUGCUGUCAUUUUGAGUCACCGGCAUUUUGGGAUGGAAUAGGAAAGCUCCUUAAAAGCAGCCAGUGUCACAUUUGCAGCUUCAUUUUCAUGGGCGAAUAUUGCUUUGAGACUAAUGUAAGCUCUAUGUAUUAUUUGGUACUGAAAGUGUGCUAUGGAAUUUCAUUUCAAAGUACUCUCAGGGUCAUUUAUGCACAUAUAAUGGGUGGAUAAGUCAAACAAAGAGCCCUUCUCUGCCACUCUGGGCACCAGGUCACGCUGAGGCAUCCAUGCUGGGAGCCAGAAUAGAUACCAGCACAAGUUUGCUGCUUCACUAUCCUGCUUUCUGCUCCCAAUACCCAUCUGCUCAGCUCUGCUUCUGCAGAGCACGGAGGCAGUGGCUGAGGUUUGUGAUACUGAGGAGGAGGGGAAGGUGGCGCAGUCAAUGGUGAGGGCUGAUGUGUUCUGGGGGCAGCUGGUAGGAAGCUGGCAUCAGUGUGCUCUGUGAGCCCACCCUGAGCUGGCAUUCCAUUGAGAGCCUUUUUAGAGGCUGUGUGUUGUUUUGUCUAAUAGAAAACAAGCUUUGCAAAUGAGCUGCUGAGCACUUUAGCAGGGGGUAUUUUUUUUUUUUGCAUGUUUGCAAUAUUCAGUUCAGGCAUUGACAGCUGUGAACUUCACAAUGAGACUGACACUUGAGAUCUGUGUAAAGGUCAAUUUUUUAAUUGUGCCUUAUAGAUAAAAGAAAUAUCUACAUCAAUAUAGUCUAAUCGCAUUGAUUUCAGCACGGAGUUUUCAAUUAUUAUUCAGAAUUCUCUGUUAUCUCGUUGCAGUCCCACAGCCUUAGCAGGCAGUGCAAUGCUCCAUGAGAUAACCUUUAACUCAUGCUGCUGGGUCAAAAGUGAGUUGUGAUGAGUACUCCCUGCCAUUCCACAGUGAACUGUCUGGGUAAGGAAGGCAUCUGUUGCUGCAGUGCAGAUCACGAUGCACUGAGGAUGCCUUCAGUUCUGAUACGGUAUAUUGGCUGUUUGCAGGUCUGCUGGUGCACAAGAUCUCGAGCCAAGAUCUCUUCCAUGCAGGAAGCUGCACUGCAGGGCAGUGGGAGGAAUGGCUGUGAUUAUCCCAUUACAAAGAGAAGGAUGUCUUAACAUUGGAAUCAUUGCUCGUGUUUUAGAGUGACCUUGUAAAGUAUGGUUCAUCACAGGGGGAUCGAUACUAAAUAAUAAUGCUUCUGCUUAGUUCCAGUAAAUACCUUGGGUUUAUCUAGGAGGUAUCACUCAGCUGUUUCCAACAGCUUCUACGUGAUCAGCUGAAGCCAAAACACAUCUGCUUCUCAUAGGUGUGCCUGUAGGACUCUGCUGUUAGUGGUGUUCAGGGUAGCCAGAGGUACUCCCUGUUGUCUCAGUAGGAAACCUUUCAGUGUAUGAAGGACAAUGUUUCCAUGAAAAUAUCAAUACAAUGGUGGGCACACCUCCAUUGACAGUUCACAGCCCAGUAUUUCCUCCGGGCUGUUGGAGUGUGGUAUAACGUCAAAGGUCUGCCUGUCCCUUGCUGGACAUGGGAUGGAGGUGCUUGGGGCUGCUAUGGGCUGGGCAGCCCAACAUCAUGUAUGUAUAUAUGGCCAGGCAGGAUGUGGCUCUGGGCAGCCUGGUCUGGUGGUUGGUGACCCUGCACGUAGCAGGGGGUUGGAACUGGACGAUCUUUGAGAUCUUUUUCAACCCAGGCCAUUCUAUGAUUCAUUCUUUGAUUCUGUAUAAACAUUAAUACAUACAUGUAUAAAAUAUUAUCACUCUGCAGCUGCAUUUGACGAUCAUCACAGAGCUUGUAUGCAUUCUAAUAAAUUCAUCAAAGGAAAAGAUCAGGCAGGUGCCAAGUGCUGCAAAAUGACCUGGACAAAGAAUGCAGAGGGUUUAGGAGUGCUUUGCAUAAAUAGGAGAAUUAUGUGCUUCACGGAGCAAGCAGUGUUCAGGUUUAAAGACACAGAUGUGUGACAGGCAUUCAGACAGUAAAUUCUGCACCUCCAGUGAUUCUGUGAUAGAAAUGUGUGCCUAUACCUCUGUAUAAUCUGCAACAAUCGAUAAAAUCAAGCAGGUUUUUUAUGAAAACAGUUUUAUUGGAAACUUUUUUAACAGUUUAAGACUCUCUCUUGUAAGUAACUGUCCCUGGACUACUGAGGUGGGUGGAGGGCUCCAUCCCCUCCUGGCAGCCCAGGGCUGAGCCCAUAUCCCUUUCAGGACCUGGCUGCAGCACCUGCUCGCUGCUUGGCAGCCUGACAUGCUUUCUGGUUUGUCCCUUUGGAUAGUGAUACGCUGAUUCAAGCUGUACAGGAGAAACCAACAACUCAACUCUGUAUUGUGAUGAGACUCUCAGUGCUGUAUGGGCAGAAUGGGGAAGCAUUCAAGCGCAUUUCCUUUCUCAGCACGUGGGAUACAGGAGGGCAGCAAAGCGUCAGCUGUGAUGAACCACUCAUGUAUCCUUCUUGUAUCUGCAGGUCAGCUGCUGUUUAUGUUCGUUAGUAAAUUAUGUGCCAACCUCAUCACGUCACCCUGCAAUCACAGUGCUGUGUUCCAUGUGUUCAACCUCCAUACAUUUGUGUUUAUAUUGAGCUAUUGCAUCCUGCUCAGGGGUGAGGGCACCUCUCUGCUGCUGCACAAAUUGGAGAACUUCUGCUUCACCAAAGCUCAUAAUGCCUUCAAGGCAUCGGUUCCUCUCAUAGCAUUUCCCAAUCAAAGUAUUAAAAUGAGAGUUUUAUAUCCAGCCAAUACUCUUCUCAUAGCUGAUAAAGGCAAAUGAGGAAUCAUUUAUAUGAUUUAGGUUAUGAGAAGAGUAUAGGAAGAGAAUAUAAGCAAAGCAUUUAUUUCCCACCUGUAUAGAAAUGAAGCUGCUGUUUCUAAUAAAUCCUACUUGAAAAGAUGGCACUGUUAUGAAAGAACGGAGAGAGAGACCUGAGGCUUUACCUUCGUGCUGCUCCAGCCCCCAGGAGUUCAAGUGGGUUUUCUCUUUCCCAGCCCUUGAAUCAGCAGGCAGAAACUGUGGGUGCUGGCUGAAAGGGGGAGGAUGCUCUGAAGUGAGAUGUAGCUGCACCACAGCCUGGAGGCAGAAGGAGGGCUGUGUGUGCUCAGGGCUGCUGGGGGGGGGGAGGGUGGUUUGGAAAGCAAAACGAUCCUAUUCAACAAUAGAGGAGAAAUUAGGAGCUUGAAAAUAGCAGCAAAUUGGAAUGAAAAGAAUGCCAAUUACCAACUUUGAUCCCUCUUUUCUUUAUUUUUGUUUGAAAGAAAUAUUUUGUGAUAGACACAUCUUGAAGUUUUCCACUUUUCUUUUGUUUUAAGCAGUGGGAGAUUUGGUAAACCUGUCCUUUAUCCUGCAAAUUCCCACCCUGAACCCUUUGUCCUAAAACUUCUGACUAAUUUCUAGGUAUUUUGAAUACUUAAGUUUGAGAAGACGUGGGAACUGACGACUUCUGUCCUCCGAGGAGAUGGCAUGAAUUACUGCAAUUGGAAAAUAAUUAAGAAGCAAUUACAGAAACAAACAGAAAUCCUGUGCGUACAGCCAGGCCAUUAAAAUAUGUUCUCUAAGAAAUUACCACAGCCACGCUGGAAAGAAAAGCAACAUUUAAAUAAAGUUAUGGUUAUAACAAACUAAAAAGGAAGAAAAAACCAAAGCAAUUCGUGCUGGAAAGACAAGCAUGGGCUGCUAUGUGACUGUGCUGCAAACGGGAGUGUGUGCAAGUGGGACACGAGGGGGGAACAGCUUCAUGCCUCCCUUCUCCAGCAAGCAGGUAACUGUGCAUUGAAGUACGCCGGUAUUCUGCUGUUGUGCUGGGAGUGCCUCCUGCUCCACGUAUGGCAGAAUGAGACCCAUUGCUCACCACCCCACACGGCAUAUCGCUGCAUCGAUCAAACGCUGCUGCAAUAAAAGUCAGGCCCUAUCCAUGUGCCAAUAGGGAGGGAUGUUUCUGAUUAUAAAUUCUCUAUGCAGAGUGCUGGCUAGCUCAUUGAAAAGGCAGAAAUCAAUGACAUUAGCACUCAUAAACCACAUGCAUUGUGACUGCUUCUCAGAACAGCCCUAAUUGGCAUAUGUCUGUCUUAUUGGCCUGCCUCAUAACAAUGCCCCAAAUGAUUCAUGAGACCAAAUAAGAAACAGGUGCAACCAAAACAGCACUCUGUGCCAAAAAUUCAUCUCUUAUGUAAGGAGAGGGGCCAAGGGCAUGGCUCAAACUGCUCCUUAUUGACUCCAGGAUGUGACUUCAACUCCCUGAAAGAAGCAUGUAGUGAAGUGGGGGUUGGACUCUGCCCCAGCAAUAAGAUGAGAGGGGAAUGGCCUCAGACUGUACAGGGAGGGUCAGGUUGGCUCUCAGAGCAAUGUCUGCUCCAGAGAGCGGCCAGGCGCGGGCACAGGUAGGGUGGGGGUCUCAGACAGCUUUUCCAGCCUGAAUGGUUCUGUGAUUCUAAUAAUGAGCUAUACGAGUCAUCCCAAGGGUGAACCUGCUAUCUAGUCACUGAAAUCUAUUGAGUGGGUAUUUGGCUUGCUUUUUUUAGGGUUAAUUUAUUUAAACCUGCAUGGGGUUGGAUUGAGGGGAAAAAAAGGAAAUCGAGCUGAUUACAGACUUUGUUUCUUAGUAGGAUAACUGAAACACUGGUCUAACUGUUAUUUAUUAUACAAAAUGGGCAUCUUGUGAUUUGCUUGAAAUGAAAAAUGGACUUGAAUGGCAUGGCCAUUGGUCACGGGCCAUGAAGAGGGGAUGAUGGCACUGCACGGUGAGCCACCACAGCCCUGCACCAUUCCAGCAAGGCACAUAUAAAAGCUUAAACGCUUGCCCCCCCCUCUUUGCCAUGUGGUCCAUUAAGUUAGGUGCAGGCAAAGGGCAUAUUUGUCAAAUGCACAUUGUGCUGACUCAGCAUUCUGGUUAUCUGUUGGGCAUUCAAUUUCACCCUGGUGCAAAGCCUUUUUAGUUUCCCUUGGCGAAUAAAUUACAAAUGCUAAUUUCUGCUCAGUUGAAGAGAAGAUUAAGGCAGUGUAACAGACAGGCAUGCCAAAAUAUUUAUUGAAUAAGUUGCAAAAGCGAAACAAAAAGGCUGUGUAUUUCAAACUGAGUGCUGAGCAGGGCUCCAAGCUGAAUUUAAGAGCAGCUCCUUUAUUCACCCAGAAUCCAAUUUAGUGCGAGUAUAUUAUAUCCAGCAUCUGUAUGCUGAAAUCCACUGCUGAAUAAGCUUCUAAAAUUCUAUUUUCUGCAGUUUCAGUGCAUACUUGCACAUAUGUUUCUUAGUAAAUCACAGUAAUGACCCUAAUUCCAUGAGGAGGACCUAAAGCAAAUGCUGCCCCUGGGCUGCUACUCACCCAUCCACAACUGCUCUACGAGGUUAGCACUUGUUUUCUUCUCUAUUUCCAUCCAGACUGCUGUAACUGAAUGGGGAGAACAAUCUGAGAACUGUUAGAGAAGUAUUUGGGAUGUAACAGCUGCAUUAAUACCUAUUUGGGGUCACAGUUGGAGAAACGUGCGGUUCUUUCAGUUCACGCAGACGUGGUGGGAUUUCUGUUAGGCAGCCACAGAGAAUUAAAAGCUCACUUUGAAAAGCCCUGGAUGGGGCUGAGUGACAAAUUGAGCUGCUUGUAGAGUCACCUGUAUUUUUAUAUGCGCACAGGAAAGGCAGAUUUUGUUCUGUUUCUGACAAGCAGUUACUGUAGCACCCUUUCAGUUUUGCAGGCAUUAGAGACUUCAGUUUGCUGCACAAAAUAAUGAGUUACGCUGUGUCUGCAUUAAACAACAGAGAUACAUGUCAGCAUUUCCAUGUCAUCCUUCUGUCACAGUAAAUGAAUGACAGUACAACAUAUGGGCUCAUUAGGUAACAUCCAACAGGUUAAUAGCCAUCGAUGUGUUGGAUUUCAGUUAUGCGUGUGUAAGUGUUUUUAGAUAUGCCAGCAAAUGAAGCCGGAGGGAAGAAAAUUUCACAAAAGCCAAAAUAAUUUGAGAGAGCAUUUGCAAAAAUGAAGUGCAGAAUUUAACCAUUUCAGUGCAUGUUGAGCUGCAAGCAGUAGGAACAGCCUCGUGCAGUUCUCAUUUUCAAUACUAUCUGCUCAGAGAAGUUCAAGUGGAUAAUAAAUACACUUCAACAAAUAAAGACCUGUCUGAAGAGAGCUUCUGGGGUUGUGGGAAUAAAACCCUGAGGGUAACUUCAGUCCGAUCACUGCUAAAAUCCAGACUGUAACUUUGAGGUGAUAAACAAAUGAGACUUAAGGAGCCACAGGCCUUGGGAUUAAGAGUCAGAAUAAGAACAUGAGAUACAUUUACUUCACUGUACAAUGUAGAUAUCCCAUUUAAAAAUUAACAUUGAUGCACUGACAAUGCAUUGCUAGUUAGGAAAACACAUGCAGUCAUUGUUCUCCCUGCCUCUUUUAUUUCACUUAUACUAACCCCUCGGAGCAGCCGAUGCUCACAACCUCCUUCCUUCCCAGAAGUCUCCAGGAUCUUGCUCCAGUGACAUCCACUGCCAAUGUUUCUCCACUUAGAAUACGUCCUGGCAUCCUUGUGAUUAUCUUCUGCUGUGCUCUGUUCAGUGGAUAAACCGGAGGCAGUUACUGACAUAUAAAACUCUCAGUGGUCAGAGCCACCAAAGCUCUGUAGGUGGAUGUGAGUCUGUGAGACUGGCUUUGUAAACUUGGGUUGUGUGUAAAGGGGAGAUGUUUCUUCAGUGCCUUGCAACACCAAUGAUUGCUAAAACCAACAUGAAGCCCGAACUGCCCCAUGCAGCGUUUGCUCUCAGCCCCUGGAAGUAGUCUUGAAUUCUCAUGAUAGAAGGAUGUGCUCAUAAUUCAGAAAGUAAACAUACACAGCUACCGCUGUGCCUUUAUGGGGAGAGUGACAGAGCACUGGAACAGGCUCCCCAGGGAGGUGGUGGAGUCUCUUUGUAUGGAGAUAUUCAAGACCUGUCUGGACACCUACAUGUAUGACCUAUUAUAGGGUACCUACUCUAGCAGGGGGUUAGACUUGAUGAUCUUUUGAGGUCCCUUCCAACCCCUGUGGUUCUGUAAUACACACAAGCAACAUCUACAGUAUAUGUAGCUUGAAGUACAUAGUCUUAUAUGUAAAUGUUUAUAUAAACAUGAUUUAAAGUCUGAUCAUAUAAACUAUUUCUACCAGCUUUCUCUCUUGAUCCUGUAAAGCAAUGCACUGUAGCAUGCGCUGUCUGUCUGUACCAUACCCUUUGGCCUGAUAUCUGUGGCUACAUACCUAUAG